rnacentral:lncRNA from 1 species
AUGUGGUCACCACCAUGGGAACCUGGACUCAUACUCUGUUUCCAAAGCCCAUCAGGAGGAUGUGUCAUGGCACCCUCAGCCACAAUGACACCCAAUUCAUCAGCUACUAAUUGAGCAUUCAACAUACCACAGAAUGCAUUCAAGAAAAAAAAAAAAAAAAUCAAACCAGGAGGCUGCCAAUUUCAGUUGGACUUUAACCUGCUUGCUUUUAAUAAUGCUUGAAUAUAGAUCCUAAUUUAUGGGCUUCAUGUGAAUAUUAUUAAACCUUCCCUACCAUUCCCUUGUGCUUUGAAUGUUCAUUGACCUGUGAAGAUAGCUGAGUGGAUAAAUAAACUUAUAUGUAGACCUGGCAAAUCAGAGGGAUAUUAGAACUAGAGCUCAU